CCUACGGGUGGCAGCAGUGGGGAAUAUUGCACAAUGGGGGCAACCCUGAUGCAGCGACGCCGCGUGAGCGAAGAAGUAUUUCGGGAUGUAAAGCUCUAUCAGCAGGGAAGAAAAUGACGGUACCAGAGUACGAAGCUCCGGCUAAAUACGGGACAGCAGCCGCGGUAAUACGUAUGGAGAACGCGUUAUCCGGCUUUACUGGGCGUAAAGGGAGCGUAGGCGGCCUGCCAAGUCUGAUGUGAAAUACCGGGGCUCAACCCCGGGGCUGCAUUGGAGACUGGCAGGCUGGAGUGCCGGAGAGGCAGGCGGAAUUCCUAGUGUAGCGGUGAAAUGCGUAGAUAUUAGGAGGAACACCAGUGGCGAAGGCGGCCUGCUGGACGGGGACUGACGCUGAGGCUCGAAAGCGUGGGGAGCAAACAGGAGUAGAUACCCUUGUAGUC
rnacentral:rRNA from 1 species